CUGGGACAAAAGGAGUUUGUGUUGAAACAUAUGACAUAAUGAGAAUGGUAAAGACUUAAGAUGUUUCUAAAUGAUUAUAAUGGUUUGAUUAAAUGCCACUAAUGGGUCUUUGAACAUUGUUGUUGUUCCAGGAAUCACCAGAAGAUCCCUGAUGGUAAUUGGAUCCACCGCCUGAUGAAUAAUUUUCUUUGUAAUUGUUUCCACUGGAGCCAUCAUUCCAGCCUCCACCACCGGCACUAUUACCACUACUGAUUGCUCCAACAUAGCCACCAGUACCACCACCAUGGACUUGUUUACCUGAACUGUAUCCACCAGAUGUAUAACCAGAGUUGGCACCACCCAUGCCAUAGAAAUCGUUUGAAUUACUAAACAAGCAAAGUGCUUACCAGUCCAUCGAGGACAUCAUCAUCCAGCUAUUGUCCAUUCCUCCGUAAGAAGGCAUUGCUAUUUGUUGUACAGGCAUAUAGCUCAUUCCGCUCAAACCGCUCAUUGAAGGCAUGCCGCUGCUCAUUCCACUUCCCCAGGACAUUCCUCCGCCGCCACUGCCACCAAAUUUACUUCCCUUCAUCAUCAUUCUGUAUGAUUGUUGAAAAAUUGAACAAAUUGAAUGAGAAAUAGUACCUAAAAUUUUCAAGUAUGUCUUUCAUGUCUACUAAUGGAUGUCGAUAUGUUUGUGAAAGUUUCCAAAUUAGAUUGAUCAGCAUUUUGAACAAUUAGAAAGGAAACAAGCACAAGAAGAAGACAAAGCCUCAUAGAGAAUAUACCACUUUUUGGACUCAUGAUGAAGAUUGGUUAAAAGUUGAUCCGAAAGAUAACUACGAGAUUGGUAAUGAAAUUGAUGUAAAACUUAAAGGCUCCAAAAUAUUCACAGUCAAAUGAACUUCGAAGAUGUUUGUACGAUGAAGAAAGGCUUUGGAAUCACAAUCCGUGUUUUUUUCAAUCGCUGGUAUGAAACACAAGAUGGAAACAAAAGUAAAAGUACAAAAUUGAUGAUCAAGUUGACUCGAGGACAGUUGAUGAUACAAAGCUUUCAGACUGAUCGGAUCAGUCCUUUUUACCUGAUGUUGGUCAUUCUCAUUGAUUUGAUAAGGGGAGGUUAAGGAGAGACAAAAGACGUAAAAGGUAAAAGGAUUUAAGGAUGAUUAUGAUGACCACGCUAGAGGUUGAUGUAGGCUCGAGUUAAGUGAAAAGAGGAAGAAGGUGUAAAAGAUGGAACCAAAAGGAGGAGAUUAGACUGUUAUAACCGAUCUUCGAUCAUCAAAAAAUAGGAGAUAAAUAUUUGUGAAAAAGCAAUGAUGGUGAAGAUGAUGAUGAAGGAUUGGAGAUUGGCUCAAGAGGGAGAAACGAUGAUAGACGAAAUUUGAAAAAGGGUCGAGAGGAUGAUGAUGAUUGUUGCAUCAUCUUUUUAAAUAGGCUUCAAAAGUCAAAAUCUUGCCGCUUUCCUAAGCUAUUAUCAUUUACAGUAAUUUCUGGCUCAAAAGUUAUCAUCAUCAUCAUCCAUACCAAUCUUCUUAUUAUUUACUUUCUCUUUCUUCUGUCAAUCCAUCCAUAUCUUUUUCAUAUCUUGGUCAUUAUUAUUAACAUCAUUCCUGUUGACUUUUACAAUGAUUACAUCUUCUUCAUUGCUGUUAACCCUACAGUUUAUACCGGAAAGAAAUGGACUUCAAUUUUGAUUGUAAUUUAAAGAUAGCAGGAAGACUUGGAAUCGGAAAUCAGCUCAUCAUCGAACCACUGUGAAUAAUAAAACAUUUCACCUAAAGGACCAUAAAAGCAGGAUGUAUUGGCUAUCAAAUUGUGGACGGUUUUGAGAGGAAAACCAGAAAGAUGGACAGGAUUGUGAUUCCUUAUAAUCUUAUAUCUAAUUGUAAUCAAGGUUUCCAGCUAAUCUUUUCCUUCAAUGGAUAUUUUUGUAAAUCAGUUGGGACUGGAAAUCAUUGGAAUACAACUGUUUCCAUGAUUGUUGAUUCACUCCAUAAGUCAUUUGAUUGUCAAAUUUUGGUCGCUCUAAUGAUUUGUUAUAAUUAUGGAAACAUCAACAUAAUUUGUUACCUGUAUCAAUGUUAAUGCAAUUAUCUGUAAUUACAUUUGUUGACCAACAAUUUCACUUCAAUUUAUCCUCACCUUAUUAUCAUUGUUAAUCCACCUCAAUUAUUAUCUAUUGUUUAAAAUGAGAAAAAAGUAUCUACCAAUCAUCUUAUGAUUAAUAAGCGAUGAUGAGGAUGAGGAUGAAGAUGAUGAUGGAAACUGGACAGAUCAUGCUGAGUAAUAUCAAUUGAUAGCAACAAAAAUAUUAUUAUUAAUAUAUUAGAAAGUAAAAUUCCUUUUGUUGAUGAUUGACCUCGAUUAACUUGUACAUCGUAAAGACAAUAAUAAAUAACAAAAAAACAACGUCAAACAUGAACAACAGCAACUGGAACCAGCAAUAAGUUGAUUGUUGUGAUAAUAUUUAUAAUAAACGAAACAAAAUAAUAACAUAACAAGUCACCCUUUCCAUCCUUUUUAGUUGAUGUAAAAUUGAUAACAAAUUGAUAUUUUCUAUCAAGUGUAAAAUAAGAUUAUUAUUGAAAAUUUUAUUUACAAUCAA